rnacentral:lncRNA from 1 species
CUUCUUCCUCUUCUUAUCUCCUCUCUGUCCCUUCUCUUCUCUCAGCGACGGAGGUGGGGCCACCACCUUCGCUCUUUGCUUCUUUCCUUACAGGGCGGCGACAGGACGCCUCCGCCUCCCUCAUCGACAACGAAGAAGAAAACGAAAAAGGUAAAAAAAAUUUGCCGCCUAUGACUUGAACGGCGGCAGUGGCAAAGCAUCGGACAGAGCGAAAGGGAAACAUGUAAGAAAAAAAAUUAUGUUAUAUUUUUUUAUUAAUUUCUGUUUAGCAGAUAGCGAACUAAUAACGAUCUUUUUGGUUUUCUCCAGGUCUGCGAAAAUAGGUAGAUCCGACUUGCUCGAGAAAGUCGGGAUGAAAGGAAAAGGCUGCCUCUAGAAGGUAAAACACUUUUCUCUAACUUGUUUUGAUUUUUCUUGUUCGAAGAUAGUUGUUUUGUUAUCGACUACGUUGCAUAAAAUAUGAGAAAACUUUGACCAUUUUACUACUUUAAUAAAAUUCCAUCAAUAUUAUUUGGCCGAAAAUCCAUAUAUUAGCUUGAUUUUUGCAUUAUAUUACGAGAUUCAUAAUUCUUUGAUUCCUUAGUGCGAAAAUGAUGAAAUAUGGUCAUAGGUUUUGUUGUUAACAUAUUUUCCAGCAAUCUUUAUUUGAUUUUAGAAGUUUAUUUCACUUAUUGGUUCAUUGUUUAUUAAAAUGACUCGUUUAUUCACGUAGAUGAAAUGAACAUUAAAUUCAAGAGUAGUUUAAACGGUGACUAGGCUAUAUAUCAUAUCAAGCAUAUCAAUAUGUUUGUAUAUAUGAUAUGUGAAUGAUUACAAAUAGCAUACAUAUUUUGAACGUCAUACCUUUAAUAUAGAGCUUUGUUUUGGCAUUUUUUCAGGUGGCGGCACCCUUUCCUCGUUUCCUAGUUCCUGGGACCUUCCCCUUUGUCGGCUCCCUCGUGGGUGAUGACAAAAAGCAGAGAACUUGUAAAUUGCUUUUGGUGUUUUGUAAUUUUGUUGGGACUUUUGUGAACUGAAAGUGUUUAAAUAUUUUUUUUGGGAUUUGAGUAGAGGGUUGGGGAAGUACUCUAGGAAAUGUAUUUUUUUCUCUUCUUAUGUUCUCUUUUUUCGCCGCCUCCUUUGUGGUCCUGCUCUCAUUUUAAAUGAAAAAGGGCUGCCACCUCCCUUGUUUUCCAACCCAAAUUUAACACCACACUCUGAUACAAAAGGGAGGUGGUUGCUCCCUGUAGCACAACAACAAUGAGCCUAAAAUCGGGCCUGAUUUUGGGCCCGAAAACUGGGUCUCAAAGGUCCGUUGAUCUUUGCCGAAUUUUGAGAUAGCGGAGUUGGGG